rnacentral:rRNA from 1 species
GACGAACGCUGGCGGCGUGCCUAAUACAUGCAAGUCGAGCGAAGUUUUUCUGGUGCUUGCACCGGAAAAACUUAGCGGCGAACGGGUGAGUAACACGUAAAGAACCUGCCUCAUAGACUGGGACAACUAUUGGAAACGAUAGCUAAUACCGGAUAAUAGCAUUAACUGCAUGGUUGAUGUUUAAAAGUUGGUUUUGCUAACACUAUGAGAUGGCUUUGCGGUGCAUUAGCUAGUUGGUGGGGUAAAGGCCUACCAAGGCGACGAUGCAUAGCCGACCUGAGAGGGUGAUCGGCCACACUGGGACUGAGACACGGCCCAGACUCCUACGGGAGGCAGAAGUAGGGAAUCUUCCGCAAUGGGCGAAAGCCUGACGGAGCAACGCCGCGUGAGUGAAGAAGGAUUUCGGUUAGUAAAGCUCUGUUGUUAGGGAAGAAUGAUUGUGUAGUAACUAUACACAGUAGAGACGGUACCUAACCAGAAAGCCACGGCUAACUACGUG